rnacentral:rRNA from 1 species
GGGCCCGCACAAGCAGCGGAGCGUGUGGUUUAAUUCGAUGCUACACGAAGAACCUUACCAGGGUUUGACAUGCAAGUGGUAGGAAACCGAAAGGCGACCGACCCUUCGGGAGCUUGCACAGGUGCUGCAUGGCUGUCGUCAGCUCGUGUCGUGAGAUGUUCGGUUAAGUCCGCUAACGAGCGCAACCCUCGCUGUGUGUUACAAGUGUCACACGGUACUGCCGGUCUUAAGCCGGAGGAAGGUGGGGAUGACGUCAAGUCAGCAUGGCCUUUAUGUCCUGGGCUACACACACGCUACAAUGGCCAACACAAUAGGUUGCUAAGCCGCGAGGUGGAGCCAAUCCUCAAAGUUGGUCUCAGUUCAGAUUGCAGGCUGCAACCCGCCUGCAUGAAGAUGGAGUUGCUAGUAACCGCAGGUCAGCUAUACUGCGGUGAAUACGUUCCCGGGGCUU